rnacentral:lncRNA from 10 species
CGGGUUCCUUGCUCCCCUCCCCGGCCGCCUCCGACGCGGGCGUCCUGGAGAGCGCGCCCCAUUGUGCGGGGCCGGCGGGGAGGUGGAUCCAUAAAGAACCCAGCCAACCCGCAGAGGGAGGGGAGGGGCUGAGCUGUGAGGAGAGCGGGGCCCAAGAACCAUGUCUACGCGGGAGUCCUUUAACCCGGAAAGUUACGAAUUGGACAAAAGCUUCCGGCUAACCAGAUUCACUGAACUGAAGGGCACAGGCUGCAAAGUGCCCCAAGAUGUCCUGCAAAAAUUGCUGGAAUCUUUACAGGAGAACCACUUCCAAGAAGAUGAGCAGUUUCUGGGAGCCGUUAUGCCAAGGCUUGCACCUGUUUGUCAGAUGCGCAGCCACCCCCUGUGUCUAGUGUCAACCACAUUGGACAGCACCAGACCCUAUUCUAGUAGACUGUGGUGGCACAGGUGUGAAAGAGAAACCGUGGAUAACGGAGCUGCUUUUCAGCCCUAGGGGCGUGCUCAAGAAUCCCCCGUUACUCUGAUCAAAGGACUUGCUAAGUUUAGAAAUAAAGCGCUUUACAAAUCAAAUGCAUUGGAAUGGAUACUUGUGUCAUUCCUUUGAGGCACGGUGGGCUUUCCUUGGUUCAAACCACAGAUUACAUUUACCCGAUCGUAGACGACCCUUACAUGAUGGGCAGGAUAGCGUGUGCCAAUGUCCUCAGUGACCUCUAUGCAAUGGGGGUCACGGAAUGUGACAAUAUGCUGAUGCUCCUUGGAGUCAGUAAUAAAAUGACCGACAGGGAAAGGGAUAAAGUGAUGCCUCUGAUUAUCCAAGGUUUUAAAGACGCAGCUGAGGAAGCAGGAACAUCUGU